UGACAUGACCCCAGUGCCCCCUUCGCAAGAAGGGCGCUGUGACUCCAGGUCGCCCAAGAGGGCCUGCUGGCCCCUGACCUUGGGCCAGCCACACUGGCCGCCCGGCGCUCUUACGUCUCCCGCGCCGCCAACUCCGCCGCGGCCGGCGCGCGCCGCGGGCGGGUCCAGGCCGCCCCGGCCCCGCCCGCGCGGUCCCCAGCCCUGAUUGACACUGGAGUUGGAACAUACGGGUCUGCGCGGAGGCGAGCAGGAGGGCGAGCGCUAUUUUAAACAUGGCUUUCCCUCUCCCCGAGCCCCAGAGCCGCCGCGGCGCACCCAGCCGCGGGCGCAGCCCUCACGGGAACACUCCCAACAUCCGCGCGGGCUGUUUUCUGUACUUAGCUUCAGCUCCCCGUUUCGAUCUCGUACCACUACUUGUCCUCUCGCUGCCUUCCCUCCACGCUAAUCAAACCUGCCAGUUGGCGAAGAGGAAACUCUCCUCCUGAAAGGGAGGGGGGUCGGGGAUGGGAACGCAACACCGCUUUUGCUGCUUCUCGUCGGAGCUGGAAACCAUGCCCGCGAGAAUGAGUUCGUAAAGCGGGGAAGCCGCGUCGCCAGAGGGAAAGUAACAGUCAGACAUCGAUGAGGAUGUCUGCAACAGGCAUCCGAAAACAAGCGUGGAGAAGCAGAGAUUCCCGACGCCCGAGUUGCUACCGCGCGCGCACUGUGCGACCCACCGCGAUGACAGGAUUUGUUGUAAGCACAAUUGGAAGGCCUUCGAAAAUCUUUUCUCGGGCCUUCCUGAGACUGGUCCCGUUGCCAGUCUGGAUUCCUAUGUAGAGGCAGCUCUACCAAAAUCUCCAAGUGCUGAGUGUCAACUCCUUCAGCAAUGCAACAGUUCUUCAUUUCUCUUCCUAGCAACACCCCAUGUUCCAGUUCCUACUGAACCUAGCUGUGGGCUUCAGCUGCCUGGCAAGUCACUGAAUUACUGAGAAGUCACAUGAACAACUAUCCACAUAAAAUAUAUCUAUAAACUGAAUAUGUAAUAUUAACAGUCACUGUGCUAUGGCUUCCACUGUAUGGCAAACCUUUUGCCUACAUUAUAUCAUUAAUCCUCACAAAAGUGCUAUGGGGUUGAUAAAUGAUCACUUCCAUUUUAUAAGUGAGGAAACAACUGCAGAGAGGGUAAGCAAAUUGCUCAAGAUCAUGAAGCUAGCAAAUGAAUAAGCUGGUCUGCAAAUCCAGGUCAUUUAAUCCCAAAGUACCAAAAUCCUCUACUUAUUCACAGCAUUAGUAUGUCUUUCUUGUUUGUAUUGCUUUUUAAGUAAAUUCUUAUGUGUUUUGAGUUAAAAGUUAUACACUUUAAAAUAUCAUAUAGUUUAUAGUAAAUUUUGUCUUUUUACUAUUUUUUUACCCUGGAAGUACCUUAACAAUCGCAGACUUGAUGUGAUAGAAUAUUUUUAACAGCUCUUUAACAAUCUUGCUCAAAACCUUUUAAAAAUAGAACAGAGAAAAAUGACUUUAUAAGUCAAUGUACAUCUUACUUGUAAUAGUUCUGUAGCACCAUUCUGCUAUACCUUAGAAAAGACCCCAUCCCUGAUUGUCCUUCUAAAAAGUGAGUAAUAAUCCAUUUUAUAUUUCAAACCAAGCUAAUUUGUCAUAAAGCCUAUUGCAUAGGCUUUGUCCAGGAACUUUCUGCAUUGGAUAAUUCUUUCCAAAAUGCUUGCCUUUGGCCCUCAUUUUACUGAAGCUUAUUUCUCAACUCUUUCCUUAACAAGAUUUGAAAUGUAGUUACGCUUGAGAGUUUUUAUGUCUGAAAAUGAAUUUGAUUCUUCCUCUUGCUCAAUCAUUUGAUUGGGUAUUAUGUAUUGUUUUUCUAAUAUGUAGCAACUAUGCAAAGAAAUCUGAUCUCAAAUUGAACUCUAUUUCUUAUGUUUUCUCUUUCAAAAUUGUAACUGUUUUUCAUUAUCUUUGUAAUUUUUAUUUUUAUGAUAAUGUGAUGUAGUAAAAUAUGUUUUCAUUUAGCAUGCAGAAAAAAUAAACAAUGACACAACUCAAGAAUUUGAACUACACUAAAAUAGUCAAUUCUUAUCCAACAAAUGGAAAUUUUUUAAAAAGUGAAAUUAGGUUAUCUGACUGGCUAUUCAUUUGUUUUUUUUUUUUUUCAGCCUUCCAAAUGUAUUGGCUUCUAUCAGGCAUUGAGUUAGGAACUAGAAAUACAGUCAUCGAGACAAAAAGGGUGUUUAUCAACUGCAAGAAAAUGUGUCACCGAAUAAUUACUUCACCUGCUAAAACCCUUUCAUUCUUUAACAUUUGUAUCCUAGAGACCUUCACCCAAAAGCAAAAAUUAGACAUAUAGGUCAAUUAGAAUUUCACUCUAGGCCGGUGCCAUGGCUCAAUAGGCUAAUCCUCCACCUCCAGCGCCGGCACCCCAGGUUCUAGUCCCUGUUGGGGCGCCGGGUUCUGUCCCGGUUGCCCCUCUUCCAGUCCAGCUCUCUGCUAUGGCCCGGGAGUGCAGUGGAGGAUGGCCCAAGUCCUUGGCCCCUGCACCCCAUGGGAGACCAGGAGAAGCACCUGGCUCCUGGCUUCGGAUCAGUGCAGUGCGCCGGCUGCAGCGCGCUGGCCGCAGCGGCCUUUGUGGGGAGAACCAACGGAAAAAGGAAGACCUUUCUCUCUGUCUCUCUCUCUCACUGUCCACUCUGCCUGUCAAAAAAAAAAAAAAAAAGAAUUUCACUCUAAAGAAUCAUCUGGUCCCACCUGGUCUGUUCCCCAUCCCUCUGUAAAUUCACUGUCUGUGAGCUACUCUGCAGGGAUCUCAAAUGCAUGGCUGCUAACUGUAUCCUUAAGUUUAGCAUUUUACCAUAGAGCUCUGCGUGGGCACAAAGUGAGGGCUACAAAAUGCUUUCAGUUCUUCUUUUGCUUUUAAAGAAAAACUAUGGCUAAUAGAAUUUUUGAAAUCCUAUUUUAAACCUUUAGGAUAGAAUCGAAGCUAUGUUAGGAACAAUUUAAAGAGCUUUCAGCAAUCUGGGGAUCCUCAUCGUGACAGCCUUGUUGCCAUCCCCAGUGAUAAGGUCCACAUCUAAACCAGGGGUUUAGUCCCUGCUUCCGUUCCUGCGUGCUUCCUUUCCCUGUCUGCAUUACUUUUCCUAGCACCUUGCAAUACUGAAGCCCUGCUACCUGCUUGCUGGCAGACUUGUCUGGUGCCAUCUACUCAAGCCACCCAUCCUGGAACUUCCUUACCCAGGCUCUGCCUACCUGAUUAUGUGGUCAUGAACAUAGUCAGUCCUCUGUUUGUCUUAACUUUGACCUGAAUGUUGUACUGCCCAAGGAUAACCAUUUUUGAUUCAUUCAACAAAUAUUUAUUGAGUAUCAAGCAUUGUUUUAGACAUGGAAGUUGAAUAGUGGACCAAAUAUAUAAACACAGAAAAUAAUAUUUGCUGUUGUUUUGUCGCUUGUUGUGGUUUGAACAGGAUUUAGUUCCCCAAAUUCAUGCAGAUAUUUAAAGUCCAAAGUUUUAUUACUUAGUGAAAAAAAAGAUAUUCAACAGUUAACAGAGAUGGAUUAAGGAUGUAGAUAUGAUCUAAUUAUGGUGUUUGGGAGCUGAGCAUAGGGGAUGAUCUUUAGGUCUUUCAGGGCUUGGUUUUGGAAGAGAGCUCUCAUGAGAGGGUAGAUUAUAGAAGAAGAGCAUGUUCUCUGUGUCUUUAUGCUUCUAGCUUGCCAUGUGACUGUCAUUCCACCAGCCUCCAGCUUCACCAGUUGUAUGAAGCAACGGGGCCACUUAAUCUUAGACUGUGAACCUCCAAACUAUAAGCCAAAAUAAACCUUCCUUCCUAAGAAGCUCUUAUUAGAUGUUUUAGUUAAAGUAAUGAAAAGGUGACUAAUACAGAGCUUCACAUUCUAAUAUGUAGAUUUCAAGUCCUGGUGAACUACGUCAUCCCUUUAUCCACCAUUGCUGAAUACUUUUUCCUCUAAGUAAAAAUUCUAUAUAGUCUGCCAUCCCUUUGAAGUGAAUGGAACCCUCCUCUUAGACGAUAAAGAGUGUUAAAUGAGAAAAGGAAACACAACCAACAGCAAGUACACGAGGGUACUUAGAGAUCAACUUAAGGUAAGAUUUGGAAAAAUUCAAGGAACAAUGAAUAACUUUCAAAGUUUAUUGUAAAAAGAUGAACCAUGGGGCUGGCUUUGUGGCACAGUGGGUUAAGCUGCCACUUGCAGUGCCAACAUCCCAUAUGGGUGCCAGUUCAAGUCCCAGAGGCUAGGUUUCUGAUCCAGCUCUCUGCUAAUGCUCCUGGGAAAGUAGUGAAGGAUGGCCCAAGUGCUCGAGGCCCUGUCCCCAAGUGUGGGCCACCCCGAGGAAACUCUUGGCUCCUGGCUUGGGCCUGCACAGCCCCCACCAUUGCUGUAAUUUGGAGAGUGAGCCAGUGGAUAGAAGACCUCUCUCUCCCUGUCUCUCCCUCCUUCUCUCUGUAACUCUUUCAAAUAAGUAAUAAAAUAAAUCUUAAAACAAAAAAAUUGGGGUUCCAAGAUUGUGGAAUAACCACAGGGCAGUCUGAUUUAGGCUAAGUGAAAUUCAUAUAAAAAAGUGGAGUUUGUACACUCUCAGGGUAAAGCCACAGGGGAAACUGCAGUGAGAGAUCCUGUGAAAGCAGUAGAAAUGACCCAGACCUGUGCAGAAAGUGCAGACAUGAAGCAAGGUGCAAUGAAGCAACAAGCAACAAAGGAGCCAGUAGCUUGGAUCUGGGGAAAAGAAGCCUGCGCUGGCACACCAGGUGAGAUAUGACUGCACAGGCCCAUGCCGCUGUUGAUACAACUGGAGGGAGAGCUUAGUGAACUGCAUCUUUUGGAGUCCUGCCUGGAUCCUUCAUGGCAGUGGGACGAUUGCUCACCCGGGUGCAUGGGGGAGCAGUGCAUCUCUCUCUCUCUCUCCCCUCUUCCCCCCUAUAAGAGUGACCUGCAACUUGUGGUGGGAGGGGUGGCACCAUUAUUUGAACAUCAGCAGGCAGCAGCUGCUCUAGCUCUUGUGCAUGCACCCAGCAAUUAUCAGGGGCACCCUCUACCCAGUCAGCAGGGGCAACCAUAGCAGUUAAAAAGCAACUGAUGGGAAGGUCUCCAUCAUGCCAACUGCACCGACGCAGCAAUAGGUGGAGAGGGGGAGCCAUCCCUACAGCAGGGAAGUGCCGCCUGCGGGACUCUCCCACACACCCAGCACAACUGUAAAAUGAGCUGGGCUGCAGGUGGGUAUUGUGCAUGCCUAUGAUCCAGAGAUCUUACUAGAGAGAAAAACCCAUAUCCCCACUGGCAUCGAAUCUGGUUGGGAGGACCGGACUCAAUCUAGUGGGCUGGAACACAUAUGGACAGCAGCCCUGGGAACACCUCAGUACCCAUGUAGUCAGGAUGGGCUGGCAGGGAACAGUGGCCCUACUUGUACUCCUUGAUCCUGAGAGCCCUGGGAGCUGAGACUGAGAAAACACUGUGACUGCAUGAGAGGAGGCAGGGUGUAGCUGGGUUCCGGGCAAUCACAGAGGGCUGCUACACACUCUCAGAGCUCCUUGGUUGCCUAGAGCAGCUCAUAGCAGAGUGAACCGUGCUCACAGGAAGGACUAUGCAGAUAUAUGUGGUUCAUACAGCAGUGUGGAUGAGGGUUGAACACACCAGGAACUAACACUUGGGCCGUCCUCAGCUUGAAGGAGAAGGGGUGGUCACACCAAUAGAGGUGACCAUUCCUCUCCAUCUAGUUAACCAGAGGAGGGCUACCAUGCUUAACUUGGGUGUGACCCUGGAUACUUUCCCCAUCUUGGAGCACUGACCAGAGCUCCCUGGCCACACCCACCACAUACCUCUUGGGAUUCACUGAAAGUGUAGACAUAUCACUAAGCCACAGAAGGCAUAGCUCAAAGAUAAAAGCCAUCAGAGAAAAAAAAAUUCUAAAACGUCUAAAAAUAAAAGAAUAAAAAAAUAAAAGAAUAAGGAAGACACUAUGACUCCUCCCAAGGAACACAACAACCUUUCAAUAUUAGAAUGUGAAGAUAAAGAGAUUGAGGAAAUGCCUGAAAUGGAAUUCAAAAAAUUAAUCAUAAGAUCAUUCAAAAGCAAUCAGAGGCUGGCACCGCAGUUCACUAGGCUAAUCCUCUGCCUGUGGUGCCUGCACCCCACGUUCUAGUCCUGGUUGGGGCGCCAGAUUCUGUCCUGUUGCUCCUCUUCCAGUCUAGCUCUCUGCUGUGACCCAGGAGUGCAGUGGAGGAUGGCCCAAGUGCGUGGGCCCUGUACCCGCAUGGGAGACCAGGAGGAAGCACCUGGCUCCUGGCUUCAGAUAGGCACAGCACACCGGCUGCAGUACACUGGCCGUAGCGACCAUUUAGGGGUGAGCCAACACAAGGAAACCUUUCUCUAUGUCUCUCUCUCUCACUGUCUAACUCUGCCUGUCCAAAAAAAAAAAAAAAAAAAAAAGCAA